rnacentral:lncRNA from 1 species
AAAUAUUUAAUUUACCAUUUCAAAAUGUAAAGUGCAGAUCACACUUAUAACACCACAUGUAAGAGUGUUUCACCAACCAACACUACAAGAAGAUUGAACCUCAACAGAUUUAAGAGGUACAGGAGUAUCAAAGCUUGAAACUUUCUUAUAGCAUUUACUACCAAAAGUACCAAGAAACUGGCAACAUAGACACAAAUGAGAAAAUCAUC